AGUGAGCCUGCUGUAAGCAAGGUGGAAGUGUCUGUCCAAGGGGGGCACGUCAGGAAGUGGCCCCUCUGCUUAGAAGGCAGAAUGGAGAGGUGAUUAUGGUGCUGACAAGGACACAGGCAAAUUACAAAGGGAAUGGUUUCUGCAACAGUCAUUUGUGACUUCAGAGAGGUCCUUGUGGAAGCAGAAAGGGUUUAGAGCAAUACACAGUGUGGGAAUUACUGACUGAAGAGGCCUCAUGCCAAUACUGGCUUGCCUGGUUCUAAUGGUCCCCAUCCAAGAGUUUGUGCAACCCAGCACCAAGUACCAAUAUUUCUGGCAUUCAGCACAGCCAAGAGAUGCUGGGUCAGAAACAGAACAACUCAGGCAGGAAAGUACCUCUAGUCCAGACUCCUGCCUACCAGAGGUAGAGCCUCACUCAGUGAAGAAAACUUCCUUUUCAGAUAAACUUCUCCCUCUUGUUUUAUAGCUUCAUCCCAUUUCCCCAUACUUUGCCGGUCACCAGAGAGAGGAGAUCAGCAGCCCCCCCUCCACUGCACUCCCUGAUGAACCUGUGCACUCUGGCAGGAGUUCAGCCACAUCCAGGAGAGCAGGGCCCCAUCACACGUAACAGUGACCUGGGAAGACAAACUCCAUCACUCCAGAUGUCCUCUCCUUCCUCUUCCUUGCUUUCCUCUAUAUACUGAGCAUGAUGCCAUGGGACAUCUUUCUGCAACAAAGAACAGUGUCAUAACAACAACUACAAUUACUGCAGGAGGUCAUUAUUUCAUCUGUUCAGAGACAUAACCUCACCAGGGCAAGGCUGUCUCUCUGCCAACUGCCUGAAGUUAAAUGUCCAGAGUCAACAGGAACAUGCUGAAAGAGCUGCAAGAAAUAGCAACUUCAUUUUUUCAAACAGCAUCUGAUUGGUAUUUUCUGAAGAUUGAAGAGAAAUAAAUAACAAACUCCCUAACUUUCCUUUAGCCUAGAAAACACUGUGCAUUUAUGGAAACCACACACAUACAGGGUGCCUGGAUUUGGCUGCUUUGGCAGUGAGUGCCCAGCAGCUGCUGCCUGUGAGUGCUGAGGAAUUGGCACCUGUUGGAGGAAAUUCAGCAUUAAACACUGUUAUCCCGCUCAUGAAGCAGUCACCCCUCUCUCUUUAUUUGCAUAGAUAAAAACUUUCUGUGCAUGUGUUUCUGCAUUGUCCUGAACACUGACCUGGAAACCUGGAGGCAAACAAAGCGUGUGAGCAAAACACUGCUCACACCAGACAGAGCUCGUGGCCAUGGCAGGCAUCCCUGGAAGGAAAGUGAGCACAAGGCCAUGACUAACAGAGAAUCAAGAAUUGAAUGUGAACCAUCAUCUUCCAAAGUAUCAAAAUCAAAACAACGUUAGGUUACAGAUACACUGAGACAGACAAAAUGCACUUCCCUUGCCAGAGCAGCACAAAGCUCACUUAUUAUUCUUUUAUAAGCAACCAACACAUAUCUCCUGGCAAAAAGUACACACAGGGUCCUCUCCUACAGCAGCUGCCCCAUCCUACUCUUCAGGUGUGCUACUGCAGCCCACCUCAGUCCCUCUGUGCUUGUAGUGCUGCAGAAGUUGG